UACGGAGGGUGCGAGCGUUAAUCGGAAUUACUGGGCGUAAAGCGCGCGUAGGCGGUCUGAUAAGCCGGUUGUGAAAGCCCCGGGCUCAACCUGGGAACGGCAUCCGGAACUGUCAGGCUAGAGUGCAGGAGAGGAAGGUAGAAUUCCCGGUGUAGCGGUGAAAUGCGUAGAGAUCGGGAGGAAUACCAGUGGCGAAGGCGGCCUUCUGGACUGACACUGACGCUGAGGUGCGAAAGCGUGGGUAG
rnacentral:rRNA from 1 species